GUUCAAAUUUACAAGAAGGCUUGCGACCUCGAUGUUGGAUUAAGAUUAUAAUUAGGUGCAGCCGCUUAAUU
rnacentral:tRNA from 1 species